rnacentral:rRNA from 1 species
AUUGAACGCUGGCGGCAGGCCUAACACAUGCAAGUCGAGCGAGCGGCGGACGGGUGAGUAAUGUAUGGGGAUCUGCCCGAUAGAGGGGGAUAACUACUGGAAACGGUGGCUAAUACCGCAUACCAUCAGAUGUGCCCAGAUGGGAUUAGCUAGUGGGUGGGGUAAUGGCUCACCUAGGCGACGAUCCCUAGCUGGUCUGAGAGGAUGACCGGCAACACUGGAACUGAGAAACGGUCCAGACUCCUACGGGGGGAGGAAGGGGGGAAUAUUGGAAAAUGGGCGAAAGCCGGAUGCGGCCAUGCCGCGUGUAGGAAGAAGGCCUUAGGGUUGUAAAGCACUUUCAGCGAGGAGGCGUUACUCGAAGAAGAAGCACCGGCUAACUCCGUGCCAGCCGCCGCGGUAAUAC